rnacentral:misc_RNA from 1 species
AACCUUAUGGACCUGCGGGCGUAUACCUGCGGAGGGAUCAUUAUCGAGUGAAGUUCUGGCUCGCCGGAACGACCUCCCAACCCGGUGUUUAUUUGACCUCUUGUUGCUUCGACAGGAUAAGCGUGUGUUGCCCCCCCCCUUUUCGGGGGGGUCGAGACCGCUUUUUACCGACCGCGUUUUCCCCCCCGGGGGGCGUGGGAGGACUGUCGACGGCCCACAUCAAAACUCUGUGUCUUGAAA